GGAGUUCCCACAUUCUCCCUGUGAUCAUCCUGAGUGCUCCGAUUUCUUCCCACACCCCAAAGACGGGCCGAUUGGCAGAUUAGUUGCCCCGAAUGUGCAGGAGGCCGAGUCCGACGCUCCCAGCACGAAUGGAAAGCGUGUGAGGGGUUGGCCAGAUUCGAACACGGGACUAUUUGCCUCAAAGUCCAGUGCUGAUGCCUCAUCACCACCGGCCGACUUCUUUACCAGCUGCCUGACCUGAGGCCCAGGCCUUUGAAAGUAGGUGUGACCCAAACCUGACAAGUCGAAAUAGUCAGGGGUGACCUGAGCCUCUGACUUCAGGGAAAUUCUCAAGAAAUUGUUAUCUCAAUUCCACAGACAAAACAAAUUCCAAGAGGCUGAGGAUCAAUCAGGAUGUAUCAGUGCAGAAAGUUUAAGAUCUCACCUGACAGAAAUCACGAGAGCACUGGCUGCCAUGGCGAUUUUAGUCGGUACUUGCAUAGCACAUCCUUGUGAUAUGGAAGGAAAGCCGAUCACCCACGCAAUCACAGAAAGUGUUUAAAUGCUCUGCACAGAUGUACAGAUUCACAAGGGGUGCAGUGUUUUUCCCAGGGAAAAGGAAUCAAAAACUAGAGGGCAUACAUUUAAGAAUGCAAUUUAGAAGGGACACGAUCGGCAGCUUCUUCACACAGAGGGUGGUGCUUAGAUGGAACGAGCUGCCAGAGGAAGUGAGUGAGGCCGGUACAAGGCAAUAACAACAUUCAAAGGACACCUGAAGAGGUAGAUGGAUGGAAAAGAUUUUCAAGAUUAAAAUUUCUUUAUCAUGUAUACAUCAGAACAUGCUGUUUAAUGCGUUAUUUGUGCUAACAACCAACACACCCAAGUGCGUGCUGGAGGCAGGUCACGGGUGUCGUCAUGCAUUUCACCACCAACGCAGCAUGCCCAAAAUCCUUGGCGGAUCAACAAAGGAACAGAACAACAACAGCAAAGCAAGUCCCCGUUCCUCCCUCCAAUCUGUGCACGUACACUGUCCUCCGACCCCAAACAAACAAGCAUCAAUCAAACAAUAUAAUGCACAAGAUUACUCAGAUAUUAUAAAAUAUCAAAUUACACAACAGCAUCAGCUUCUGGACUUCUGCUUUGACAUUCGGGCCUCGAUCCACAGCACUGAGCCCAGGACUGAACACUAGGCCUCGAUCUCCA